AUCGCCGGUGACCUUGUCGCUCCGUUCAGUCGGGGAGGAAAGUCCGGGCAAUAUCGGGCAGCCUGCUUCCUAACGGGAAGGGAUCCUGAAAGGGAUCAUAGAAAGUGCCACAGAAACUAAACCGCCAGGAGCGCAAGUUCCGGGUAAGGGUGAAAACGUGAGGUAAGAGCUCACGGCAGCUACCGGCGACGGUACUGCGGGUAAACCUCAGGCAUUGAAAGACCAAAUAAGCCGUGGAAGGAACUCGUUUCCGGGAGGGUGGCCCAUCCGAUGCUUUUGCGCCACGGCGGGUAGGUCGAUCGAGCGGGCAUGUGAAUGCACGCCCAGAUAAAUGACAAGGGUCCCGCUUGCGGGAAACAGAACCCGGCUUACGAUCCGGCGAUGACC
rnacentral:RNase_P_RNA from 1 species